rnacentral:rRNA from 1 species
UGCGUAGGUAGUUUCUUAAGUCAGAGGUGAAAGGCUACGGCUCAACCGUAGUAAGCCUUUGAAACUGGGAAACUUGAGUGCAGGAGAGGAGAGUGGAAUUCCUAGUGUAGCGGUGAAAUGCGUAGAUAUUAGGAGGAACACCAGUUGCGAAGGCGGCUCUCUGGACUGUAACUGACACUGAGGCACGAAAGCGUGGGGAGCAAACA